CUACGGGAGGCUCCAGUGGGGAAUAUUGGACAAUGGGGGCAACCCUGAUCCAGCCAUGCCGCGUGUGUGAAGAAGGCCUUUUGGUUGUAAAGCACUUUAAGCAGGGAGGAGAGGCUAAUGGUUAAUACCCAUUAGAUUAGACGUUACCUGCAGAAUAAGCACCGGCGAACUCUGUGCCAGCAGCCGCGGUAAUACAGAGGGUGCAAGCAUUAAUCGGAAUUACUGGGCGUAAAGCGAGUGUAGGUGGCUCAUUAAGUCACAUGUGAAAUCCCCGGGCUUAACCUGGGAACUGCAUGUGAUACUGGUGGUGCUAGAAUAUGUGAGAGGGAAGUAGAAUUCCAGGUGUAGCGGUGAAAUGCGUAGAGAUCUGGAGGAAUACCGAUGGCGAAGGCAGCUUCCUGGCAUAAUAUUGACACUGAGAUUCGAAAGCGUGGGUAGCAAACAGGAUUAGAUACCCUCGUAGUC
rnacentral:rRNA from 1 species